CGGGUUAACGUGACGUGUCUUUCCUUUUAAACCGGAAGAGAUUGCAAAGGUCGCCUCCUGUGAGCUCACUCACAAAACCAUCACGAUUCUCUCAGAAACUCUAUUAAAAACAUAACAAUGGUGACUGACGUGCAGCUGGCAAUCUUCGCCAACAUGCUUGGUGUGUCCCUAUUCCUGCUGGUGGUACUAUACCACUACGUGGCCGUCAACAACCCCAAGAAGCAGGACUAAGAACUGGUCGCACCCUGGGCUGGUGAGUGCAAUCGUGAUGGGAAUCGUCGCCACCACACUACCCAGGAAACAAACAUUCCCCCCAAAAUGAUUUCCCAAGGAUUAUGUAGUUGUUACUUUUUUCAAUAAAUAAUGCCAAGAAAAA